rnacentral:rRNA from 1 species
UACAGAGGUCUCAACCGUUGUUCGGAUUCAUUGGGCGUAAAGGGUGCGUAGGCGGCCCGGUAAGUCAAAGGUGAAAUCCCUCGGCUCAACUGAGGAACUGCCUUUGAAACUGUCGGGCUUGAGGCCGGGAGGGGGUAGCGGAAUUCCCAAUGUAGCGGUGAAAUGCGUAGAUAUUGGGAGGAACACCAGUGGCGAAGGCGGCUACCUGGACCGGUUCUGACGCUGAGGCGCGAAAGCGUGGGUAGCAAACAGA